UGCUGCCACCCUAUAUUACCAUUUAUAGCCAGAUCUCUUCUUUCCAUUGCUCAGUUGAUUCUUUCAUUGUAGGGUGACAGAAUCGGAAAGGCCAUUCAAGUGACCAACUGCAACCUCUUUUUAAUGCAGUAAUUCAAAAAUUACAAGAGAGCUUGUAACAGAAAGCUGUGUACCUUUUGCUUGAACACAUUCAAGAAGGUCUACCAUCUCAUUCCAGGUGACUAUGGCACUAUGGGACUGGACAUAGGAGGAUUUUUAUUUCAGCUGGACAAUUACACAAUUGUUCUUCCUAAAGAGAGAAGAGCAUAUCUAUUGCAAUGGAGUGGGGGAAACAAGAGAGGUUAUACUAGAGGUUUAUUUAUUUUUUUAAUAAACUAAGAUGGCUUGCUAAAAAGCUCAUGUUAGACAAGGGAAUAUUUACUGGGCAUUACAGCAUCCCUACCUUUAUUUCCUUUUUUCUUUCUUAUGCAUAAAUUAAAUGAUUUUGCAACUGACUUUCCUGAUCCUGCAACCCACAAUCUUUCUUCUGAUGCAAAUGCUUCUGAUUUCCAACCCUUCCAGACAAGGGUUGUGCUACCACAAGUUACCUCAGAGUUUCUUUUAUCUGUUACCCAUAAUUCCCUAAAGUGAACAAAAAUAAUAUCUCUGAAACACACACAGACACCUUGCAGGAAAGCAGUUAAAAGAAAUGUAGAGUAUCUUUUCACUCAAACUGUCAUGUAAUAUCUCCACAUAAUGUUUCAUGGCACAUGACAGGAAGGAUAUGACACGUCUUAUCACUCGUCAAAAAAGACAACUGUGUCAAGCUAACUUUGCAAUUGGAUGCGGGGGACAGGGAUUUUGCAUGAUUUAUAGUUUAAAAAAAAUAACCCACUUUAAAAAAAAAAAGGCUUGUUAUUAAGUUAAGUAUGGAGAAGGUUAUAUUAUACUUCAGACGUAAUUUAACAUUUAGGUCGUAUUUUUAAGAAUGCUUUUGUGACCAUACCAUUCUCUCCUCAUUUCUUUGAAUAGUUUUUCUUUGUUUCUACAGUCUGUUCUUAAAAUCCUGUUCUAUAAAGAGAGUGAUGAACUAUUUGGAAAAUGUGGGGUUGCUCGGUGCAGCAGUAAAAGAUAAAAUACUCCUGAUCGGCUGUAUUUAUGGACCCCUUUCCCUCCUCCCGUCAGUUUCAAACACAAAAGACAAAUGGUGUCUCUCGAUCAUUGCUUGUACCAGAAGCAGGCUUCCUCCUUUGUCAGCAUGGAGGAUAACCCUCCCCAGGAAGGACACACAGAGAAUUCCCUGCUCACCAAUCUUUGAUGAUGAACUGGCUUUUCCCAAAGUUGCUGACCCACUUAUCACCUUUCCUGGAACCUGAAGACAGAACUGGCCACAAAGAACUAUCAGAGGCACCAGAGGAGGUGAAGGGGAUAUUGGGAGUUAAGACUCAGCUCUUUGUUAGCUGCUGUUCUUGAGAGGUCCCAGCAUUUGUAUUCUCAUCCAAAACCAGAAUCAAUCACAGAACACACAAGCAGACCCUCACACACAUACAGAUGCACAUACACACCUGCUAUAUGACUUACAUUCCAAAUGACUCAUUAGAUAGAAGCCUGUUUCCUUUCUGCCUUACUUUAGUGUCAUACUGAAUACCAUGAUGUAUUAUGGAUUAUAAUCAUUAUGUUUCUUUUGGUACUCUGGUGUGUGUUCCUGUUUUCUUCUGGCCUGGUUUAUUUCAAGACAGCCGUAUCAGCACAUACUCUUCCUUGCUAAGAAAACACAGCACAGGGGUAGGCCUCAAAGUAGGUGGAAGACUGGGAGAGGAGAGAGUCCUUAUAUAAAUUAACUGCUCCUUUCCCGCACACUUUUUUUCUGUUGUCAUUCACACAUUGCUUAUUA